rnacentral:rRNA from 1 species
GACGAACGCUGGCGGCGUGCUUAACACAUGCAAGUCGAACGGAAAGGCCCUGCUUUUGUGGGGUGCUCGAGUGGCGAGCGGGUGAGUAACACGUGGGUAACCUGCCCUUGACUUUGGGAUAACUUCAGGAAACUGGGGCUAAUACCGGAUAGGAGCUCCUGCUGCAUGGUGGGGGUUGGAAAGUUUCGGCGGUUGGGGAUGGACUCGCGGCUUAUCAGCUUGUUGGUGGGGUAGUGGCUUACCAAGGCUUUGACGGGUAGCCGGCCUGAGAGGGUGACCGGCCACAUUGGGACUGAGAUACGGCCCAGACUCCUACGGGAGGCAGCAGUGGGGAAUAUUGCACAAUGGGCGGAAGCCUGAUGCAGCAACGCCGCGUGCGGGAUGACGGCCUUCGGGUUGUAAACCGCUUUCGCCUGUGACGAGGCGUGAGUGACGGUAAUGGGUAAAGAAGCACCGGCUAACUACGUG